GAGGCUUUUAUCCUCAAGUCUUCAACAGCGAAGAAUGUCGGGCCGGACAGAGGGUCAGCUGGGUACCAGCGAUUGAAGUUCUCAGUUACUGCCCACAGAAAUCUGAACUUGGAACACAAGCACCCUUCCUUCUGCACGGACCUUUUUUUUUUGGUAUAAUGAAACCAUUUUUGGAAGAGUGCCUGCCUGUUAUGAAAAAGCAGGCAAGCUGGUUUGGAUAUCUUUGUUUGUGUAAACAUUUUGGUGUUAUUUGUGAAAAUGAUCAGAUGCUGGUGGGGCGGGCAGGCUGACCACGACUCCGCCUGCCACAGCUGCACAGAGGGUUUUGUUUUUUUUUUUUUUUUUUGAAACAUACGUGGGAGAUGGGGAAGAAAUCCACAGUAAAGACUUGGUACAAAAAGCCAUGCAGGCUGCCACUGUGCCCAGCUUUCCUUCUCAUUGUGCCCUGGCUUUCUUGCCGGCUCUCUCCCAAACAAGGAUCUCCUGCUUCAGCUGGACCCGUGGAUCACCUGGGAAAUUCUUUCAAAAAAGUGACGCUCCAGGCUAAUUGAAUCCAGAUCUCUGGUGGGGGAGGAUGAUGGGUUUUGUAGGGGAAGUGGGCGGUGUGGGCCGAAAACCCCGAAGUGCCCCCAUCUUUAGAUUUCGUGAUCUGGAUGGAGAGAGACUUCUUCCUCGAGUUUUGGGUAGAAGGUUUCUGGGGGUGUGGAGCUGGGCUGCAUCCCCUUGGACAAAAGGGAGAGUGGACUUCCAGCCUGAGCCAGGCUUGGCGGGCAUCGCUUCUCUGGGGGCGUUUACUGUUUCCUUGUCUUCCUUCUCCUGGUCACUUCUCAGGUCUCUGGACCUUUACAGGGUGUGCCUCCCAGGCCAGGGAUUGAACUUGUGCCGUAGCAUCGACCCAAGCCUUUGCUGUGACAACACUAGAUCCUCAACCCGCUGCACCAUAGAAGAAUUCCCGUACUUUGUUCUUUUUAUGACUUCAUAAUAUUCCUUUGUGUGGAUGUACCACAUUCAGUGCAUCCAUUCAUCACCUGACGAGCAUCUGAACUGUUUGCAGUUUCUGGCUGUUAGGAGUCAUGCUGCUCUGAGCAUCUGUGUACAUGUCUUAGAGUGGAUUGUCUUUCCAUUGCACUGCUUUUUUACAGCAUGUCCUAAGCAGUAUCGCCUCAGCCAUCAGGGAAGUGUCUUAAAAUGUUUGGCAUCAGAGAUAAGUCAUUAUUCCAAAGUGGACAGCUCUGGGUCAGGGGCCAGGAGACCUGGGGGACCCUGUGCACCUGCUGGUUGUCCUCGGACUGUGAGUGGCUCAGCUCUUGAGAAGAAGGAAAGCACUCACAGCUCCUCUCCUAGGCCUCCUGCUUCUAGAGAUCACGCACUUUGCGAGAGAGGUGGUGCCAUGCUCCUGGAUCCCUACAAGACAUCAGUAUUGUUUGUGUGAUGAAUGAGUCCACGCCGUGGCUAUUGAAUGUAUUUGCACCUUCUAACAGUGUCGUCUUGCCUGUGUCGCUGACUGGUUUUGAGAUUUAUGAGGCCUCACUCAGAAGCAAUGUGUGUCUGGAUUAAGGGAACCUGAGAAUCACUAUUUAUGUCUGACCCGAGGAAAUUCCCUUUAAGCUGCUUAUCAGAGGUGCAUGCUGAGAGCAUGAUGGGAAGAUGGAGUCUUCCAUCCGCUGGCAAAAUCUGGAAUCUGCUCUCACUCCAUUUUAACUGGAGUGACAAUAAGCUAACAGACCCAUAGGUCUACCCGGAAGUAUCUGCUGACAGCUUCACUUUUGUAAAUUUAGUUGAAAAACCACUUGUGCUCUAAUUCUGAUUUUUCCCGAUACUCCAAGUCUUCAGUGUGGAUUAAAACAUCAUCCCUUUUUGUAAAAAUCAAAACAAAGCAACUUUGAUCUAGGUGAUUUAGGAGAAACUAAAUAUGCCUCUAAUUUCACUACCAGUAUAGUGAAUAUUUAUUUUCCACUUAAAGGGCCAUCAGUGCUCCACAAUUUUUGCAUUUGCAAUUUGAAAGCUACCAGAAAAUUUCCACAUUAUUAAAAAAUUAAGUUUCUCUCGAAAAUAUUCCCUGUGCAGACGCUAACACAUGUGUAUGCACUAUUUCACCACCAGGGGGCAUUGUGGUUUGACUGUCCAUUUAAACAGCCCACAUUCUAUCAGUUUACCCAGGAAAUAGAAGGCCUGGGCAUAUUUCUGAUUCCUUCCAAGAAGGAGCCAUAUCUGGGAGAGAACAGAUGUCGAUUCUUUUUCCUUACUAGCAAACGGUAGUGUUGUCAAAUUUGCUAAACUUAGCCAGUCGAAGAUUAACAUGCAGUAUAUAAUAUGCAUGUGCCUAACUGUACAAUAAGUAGUAAAUCACAUUUUUAUGCUUUCUCUGAACUUGGAAGCUGCAAGUUAUUUUUUUUUUUAUUCCCUGGGUGUGAUGAAAUAAAUAACAUUCAAAUACAUUUUAAAGAUGUCAGUCAGCGGGGGGAAAAAAAAGUGCUUGGCAACUGUGUUUGAUAGAUUUCUUUUAUGAUUAAUUCUCCUAUUAAGUUUUAAUGACUUUAAAGAUAUAAAGCUAGAAACCACAAAACUAGGCAUGGUUAAUAAAUAACUGAAAUUCCAGGUGUAUAGAAAUGCAUGUGUGGAAAAAUGAAAUCGUAUAUUCUCUAGGAUGUAUGAGGAAACGGCUCUCUGGAGAGUCUAGAGAGUCAAAUAUCCCCAAAAGGGAGGGGACAAGUUUAAAAACAGGGAACUCAAGGAGAUUGUCUUCCUUUAGGAAAAUCCUAGGAAAAACGUACUCUCUAAGAUUAACCAAUGUAAAGUAAAUUAUCUUACGAGCCAGUAAUUUUCAGCAAGAUGGUGGUUCUCUUGGAUGGAAUGCAUUUCUCCAUUUUGGCUUUUUAAAGUGUCUCUGUCCACAAUUUCAAGUAUUUCUCCCAGUUCCUCCUCACACUUUUCUCCCCAGGCUCAUCUGGCCUGGAAGAUGUGUGCUGAUUCAUUGUUUUGUAAAUGUUCAAAAGCCUGCCUGGUCCCAGGAGUGGGGAUCGGGGUGGCAGUAUUUCAGCAAUGCUCUCUCUCUCUCUCCUUCCUCCUGCACCCAGAAUGUAUGAACCAGGACUCAGCUCCUGCACAGAACAUCUCUGGGAGUCGGGGAGAAUUGAAGAAUCAAUUCUAGUUUCCACGUGGCAGGAGUGAGGCUUGCCUGGGGCUGGCGGGGUCCCCCGCUCCCUGAAACACCCCCUCCACGUCCGAGCCUGUGUGUUCACGCUGGGGGCCUCUGCAGCAAGCACAGCUGGAUUUUUUACUUUCUAGACCAUCUCAAUUCGAGGUCUUAAACUGAACAGUUUAGAAACCAAACAGACAUGAAUCAACAUGAAGAAUAACUGGGAAGAGUUACGGGGCCCCCAGAAGAAUGUAUAAAUGUGUGUGUUUUUGUAUCUGGUUAUGUGUAUGUUUUCAUGCCUCAAAAGAGACACAUGGUAUAUUUCAAUCCAUUCCCGCCACGAAGGACUUUUAUUCUUGAGUGUUUCCGAGUCCCCAAAGCACAAUAGAUGCCAUUUGGAACCUUCACACGAGGCAGCCCCCACACUUCAGAACUUCAAGUCGAAAGAUCUUUUAAGUCCACAAAACUUAUUUUUCAAAGAUCUUGGCCCAUUCCAAAUGAAUACUGAUUCCCAGCCUCUCAAAUGCCUGGAGUGAGAAAACAGGGAAUAUUGUUCUUUUCUGUUUAUAUUAUUUCAUACUGAGUUAAUACACUUGCCAAGAGUCCAGGCAGCUUCUGGCCUGACAAUGCCUUAUUUAACCAGCCUAGUUUUGAGAAUAAAGUCAGGGUCCUCCCCCCACCCCCAGGGCCCUCCCAGCAGUACUCAGGUCACUUCUGAGUUGGAAGAAACCAAAGCAAAUAAAGCGAAUCUGUUUCUCUAUGAAAAUCAUCUUUUUUUUUUUUUUUUCCUGGGCUAGGACCCAGAUUUGGCCCUGGCAAGCAGGACAGCCUGGCCCCACACCGGAACCUCAGUUCCUCCUGGGUUUCAGAGAACUGGAAUCCCCAGGCCCAGCCUCUCCCGGCCAAGGAGCCUCACCAGAAACUGAGGCUUCCGGCUCGCUCCCAGCCUGGAGACUGCAGGCCAGUCUGGCUGGCAGAUGCUCCUCCAGCCCUGGCCGCAUCUCGGUGCUGUCCUGGUACACGGAACGCCUUAGCUUGAGGCUGGAAGAAACUCCACGCGUUUGGCCCGAAAGAGGCAACUCCUUCCAGCUGGCCCGGACGCUGGGCCUUAACAGUGACCCAGAUGAACUGAUUUUGUACAGAGAGUGGGUGGAGAGGACCCUGGGGACCGGGGGUUGGGGGGGAGGAGGGAAAAGCCGGCGCUUGGCUCCAUGCACAGCGUUUCCUUGGCCGAGCUCCAGAGGAGAGACGGGAUCCAGGGCGAAGGGCCCUUGCAGACCCCCUACCCCCACCCCGCAUGCCCGGGCCUUCCUGCUGGACAUCGGGUCGGCCCUGUGCCCCGAAGACAGUCCCCUCGCCAAGCAGGGGCUGCCCAGGAAGGGAGGCCACGGGCUUCACGUGUGGAGGGAGUGGCUCCUGUGGACAUGAGAAGACGACACCAAAGGCUGGGACAUUCCUCCAAAUAGAACUCGGGGCCCCCGCCCGCCCGAGAGACGUAAAGGCCGCGCUGCCUGCGCCCGCACAUGCGCACUCUCUACGGCGCGCCCGCCUCCGAAGCCAGGGCGCCCAGGGCCUUGGCCCCGCUCUCAGAUGAGGAGUGGCGCUCGUGUGAGCCUGGCACUGUCUUCUCACCCAAGAGAAGGAGAAAGGCAAAAGGAAAGAGCCUGAGCCGCCUCCUUUUAGAUGUCCGCCACCCCCAGAUGGCAGAGCCGGAAUGCCCCAGGUACACCGCCUGCCCAGUGGUGAUGCACAGGCUGGAGGCCGCCUUCCCCUCUCGCGCACCUGCCUGAUGCCUGGCUGCCGGGCUGCUGCGCUGCCGGGCGGGGGCGGCGUCGAUGUUCCGCGAGGAACGUGUCUUACCCAGGCCUGCCUCAUGCCAAGCCCCACUUGCUUCAGGCCAGUCCCUUCUAAUCUGCGGUGUUGUUGUAAACACUGGAGAAGCGGGAUCUUUCUAGCAAGGGCAGUGUUAUCUGGAAUAAAAUGUUAGCCCUUAAGAGUGCUCUCGUGUUCUGCCAACAGCGAGGCGGAGAGCAGAGGAGGGAGAGUCAGAACGUGGGGUAUGUGGCAGAGACGGUGCAAGCCAUCUCUGUGUGUCGACCCCGUCUUUAAAGGCAAGAUUAACAGCGAUACAUAAAUAUAAAUGUUUCUUUCUGGCCAAGCACCGCAGAUUAGAUUUCACAUUCGAAAUGUAAAUCGUGCCUAGGAAACAUCGAUGUUUAUUUUCAGCAACUGACCCUCGGGG
rnacentral:lncRNA from 1 species